rnacentral:rRNA from 1 species
UACAGAGGGUGCGAGCGUUGUCCGGAAUCACUGGGCGUAAAGGGCGCGUAGGCGGCCACCGCAAGUCGGUUGUGAAAUCUCCGGGCUUAACCCGGAAAGGUCAAUCGAUACUGCGGGGCUAGAGUGCAGAAGGGGCAACUGGAAUUCUCGGUGUAGCGGUGAAAUGCGUAGAUAUCGAGAGGAACACCUGCGGCGAAGGCGGGUUGCUGGGCUGACACUGACGCUGAAGCGCGAAAGCUAGGGGAGCGAACGGG